AACCGGAGGAAGGCGGGGAUGACGUCAAAUCAUCAUGCCCCUUAUGACCUGGGCUACACACGUGCUACAAUGGGUGGUACAACGAGCAGCGAGACCGCGAGGUCAAGCGAAUCUCUAAAAACCAUCCUCAGUUCGGAUUGCAGGCUGCAACUCGCCUGCAUGAAGCUGGAAUCGCUAGUAAUCGCGGAUCAGCACGCCGCGGUGAAUACGUUCCCCGGGUCUUGUACACCCCGCCCGGAAUUCUGCAAAAUUUUCCACACACUGGGCGGGCCCGCUCGAACCUUGCUAUCUAAAGGGGCCCAAAUUCCCCCCCUAAAGGUGAGUCGUAUUUAAAAAUUUCACUUGGCCCGUCUCGUUUUUACAAACCUUCCGUGGCCGGGGGAAAAAAACCCUGGGCGUUUUCCCCCAAACAUUAAAAUCCCCCUUUUU
rnacentral:rRNA from 1 species